UACGAAGGGGGCUAGCGUUGCUCGGAAUUACUGGGCGUAAAACGCACGUAGGCGGAUUGUUAAGUCGGGGGUGAAAUCCUAGAGCUCAACUCCAGAACUGCCUUCGAUACUGGCGAUCUCGAGUUCGGGAGAGGUGAGUGGAACUGCGAGUGUAGAGGUGAAAUUCGUAGAUAUUCGCAAGAACACCAGUGGCGAAGGCGGCUCACUGGCCCGAUACUGACGCUGAGGUGCGAAAGCGUGGGGAGCAAACAGG
rnacentral:rRNA from 1 species